AACGAACGCUGGCGGCAUGCCUAACACAUGCAAGUCGAACGAGACCUUCGGGUCUAGUGGCGCACGGGUGCGUAACGCGUGGGAACCUGCCCUUAGGUUCGGAAUAACUCCCCGAAAGGGGUGCUAAUACCGGAUAAUGUCUUCGGACCAAAGAUUUAUCGCCUUUGGAUGGGCCCGCGUUGGAUUAGCUAGUUGGUAGGGUAAAAGCCUACCAAGGCGACGAUCCAUAGCUGGUCUGAGAGGAUGAUCAGCCACACUGGGACUGAGACACGGCCCAGACUCCUACGGGAGGCAGCAGUGGGGAAUAUUGGACAAUGGGCGAAAGCCUGAUCCAGCAAUGCCGCGUGAGUGAUGAAGGCCUUAGGGUUGUAAAGCCCUUUUACCCGGGAUGAUAAUGACAGUACCGGGAGAAUAAGCGCCGGCUAACUCCGUG
rnacentral:rRNA from 1 species